rnacentral:rRNA from 1 species
GAUGAACGCUGGCGGCGUGCUUAACACAUGCAAGUCGAGCGAGAAGUUUUAAAAAGAUUCUUCGGAUGAAAUUUAAAAUGGAAAGCGGCGGACGGGUGAGUAACGCGUAGGCAACCUGCCCCAUACAAAGGGAUAGCAUUUGGAAACGAAUAUUAAUACCUUAUGAAACUUAACUAGUGCAUGCUAGGUAGGUCAAAGAUUUAUCGGUAUGGGAUGGGCCUGCGUCUGAUUAGCUAGUUGGUGAGGUAACGGCUCACCAAGGCGACGAUCAGUAGCCGACCUGAGAGGGUGAACGGCCACAUUGGAACUGAGACACGGUCCAAACUACUACGGGAGGCAGCAGUGGGGAAUAUUGCACAAUGGGGGAAACCCUGAUGCAGCAACGCCGCGUGAACGAUGAAGGCCUUUGGGUCGUAAAGUUCUGUUCUAGGUGAUGAAAACUGACAGUAACCUAGGAGAAAGCCCCGGCUAACUCCGUG